rnacentral:rRNA from 1 species
GCGGCGUGCCUAAUACAUGCAAGUCGAGCGAGCGGAACUAACAGAUUUACUUCGGUAAUGACGUUAGGAAAGCGAGCGGCGGAUGGGUGAGUAACACGUGGGGAACCUGCCCCAUAGUCUGGGAUACCACUUGGAAACAGGUGCUAAUACCGGAUAAGAAAGCAGAUCGCAUGAUCAGCUUUUAAAAGGCGGCGUAAGCUGUCGCUAUGGGAUGGCCCCGCGGUGCAUUAGCUAGUUGGUAAGGUAAAGGCUUACCAAGGCGAUGAUGCAUAGCCGAGUUGAGAGACUGAUCGGCCACAUUGGGACUGAGACACGGCCCAAACUCCUACGGGAGGCAGCAGUAGGGAAUCUUCCACAAUGGACGCAAGUCUGAUGGAGCAACGCCGCGUGAGUGAAGAAGGUUUUCGGAUCGUAAAGCUCUGUUGUUGGUGAAGAAGGAUAGAGGUAGUAACUGGCCUUUAUUUGACGGUAAUCAACCAGAAAGUCACGGCUAACUACGUGCCAGCAGCCGCGGUAAUACGUAGGUGGCAAGCGUUGUCCGGAUUUAUUGGGCGUAAAGCGAGCGCAGGCGGAAGAAUAAGUCUGAUGUGAAAGCCCUCGGCUUAACCGAGGAACUGCAUCGGAAACUGUUUUUCUUGAGUGCAGAAGAGGAGAGUGGAACUCCAUGUGUAGCGGUGGAAUGCGUAGAUAUAUGGAAGAACACCAGUGGCGAAGGCGGCUCUCUGGUCUGCAACUGACGCUGAGGCUCGAAAGCAUGGGUAGCGAACAGGAUUAGAUACCCUGGUAGUCCAUGCCGUAAACGAUGAGUGCUAAGUGUUGGGAGGUUUCCGCCUCUCAGUGCUGCAGCUAACGCAUUAAGCACUCCGCCUGGGGAGUACGACCGCAAGGUUGAAACUCAAAGGAAUUGACGGGGGCCCGCACAAGCGGUGGAGCAUGUGGUUUAAUUCGAAGCAACGCGAAGAACCUUACCAGGUCUUGACAUCUAGUGUCAUUUGUAGAGAUACAAAGUUCCCUUCGGGGACGCUAAGACAGGUGGUGCAUGGCUGUCGUCAGCUCGUGUCGUGAGAUGUUGGGUUAAGUCCCGCAACGAGUGCAACCCUUGUUAUUAGUUGCCAGCAUUAAGUUGGGCACUCUAAUGAGACUGCCGGUGACAAACCGGAGGAAGGUGGGGAUGACGUCAAGUCAUCAUGCCCCUUAUGACCUGGGCUACACACGUGCUACAAUGGGCAGUACAACGAGAAGCGAGCCUGCGAAGGCAAGCGAAUCUCUGAAAGCUGUUCUCAGUUCGGACUGCAGUCUGCAACUCGACUGCACGAAGCUGGAAUCGCUAGUAAUCGCGGAUCAGCACGCCGCGGUGAAUACGUUCCCGGGCCUUGUACACACCGCCCGUCACACCAUGGGAGUCUGCAAUGCCCAAAGCCGGUGGCCUAACCUUCGGGAAGGAGCCGUCUAAGGCAGGGCAGAUGACUGGGGUGAAA